AAAUUGUCCUCUCUAAUACUAUAUUAUAUCCCUAUUUGAUAUAUAUAGUCUCGCUUGUGGACUAUAUAAAUGGUUUAAUUAUCCUAGCUUUUGAAGUAGCGAUGCAUUUCAUUAAGCUCGAGAAACGUUAAGCAACAUUU
rfam:Musca domestica strain aabys unplaced genomic scaffold Scaffold19000, whole genome shotgun sequence.